UUCAACUUUCUCUAUUCUCUCCACUCAUCCCAAAACCCUUUUAGUUUUUCAUCUGUGUCUGGCAGCCCUCUAAUGAUUCCCAGUAAAAAUUGUAUUAUAUUCCCAUCAUCCAAAAUUAACAACUAUUAGAAUUUUUGUCAUUUCUGUUUCAACCUUUUUAAUGAAAUAAAACGUUGGAGAUUAGGUCACAUUCCCUUUGAAUGCUAUUUUCUGUUCCAUCCCCUCUUUCUAUCCUCACCUCAGAGCCCAUGUGUGGUUUGAAAUGUGCUUUUAAAAUAUUUUCUAUAUGUUUACAUGUAGUCAUAACUAAUAUGUAGUGUUUCAUGGGCUUAUAUCAUAAAUGGUUCCACUAUACCUGUUGUUCUGUGGUUGGCUUACUCUGACUGAACUUUGUUCUUGAGAUCUGCCCCUGCUUUUAUAUAUGUAAUUCAUACAUGUGCACUCAUUGCUUUUAAUUGCUGUCUGAUAUUUCAUGGUAUGAAUAAUACCACAUUUUAUUAGUCAGUCCGUUGGUAGAUAUGCAGAUUGUUUAAAAUCUCUCAUUGAUAUAAACAGUGCUUGUAUUAUGUUUACCUGUGUCAGAUGUCGGAUGUGAGUUCUUAGGCCAGACGCCUGGCUGCAGAAUGGCUGCAUUUUGAACACGUCCAGUUUCACUUUUCAGAGAUAUCACCAAGCUGAUUCUUUGACUGUUUGGAAACUGUUCCCCAAGUGUUUUCCAGCACUCGUGAGACUUACCUUUUCCAUUUGUUAAACAACUAUUUUUCUUGUGAUGAUGAUGAGAGCUUUUAGCAUGUUCUCUUAGCAACGUUCAAAUAUGUAAAACAGUAUCAUUAACUAUAUGCAUGUCACAUAUUACAUCCCAUCAGAGUUCCUAAGUUUGCCUAUUUUAGGGGUAAUGAAUGUUUUUUUUUUCUUGGGUGUUCUAGCUUCAUCUCAGUGAAUUCUUUUCACAGUCCUACCCCUACCUCAGGACCUCUGUUCAGGGCCCUCUCGGGGUCGCUUGCUCAGACUCCUGUCUACUCGGUCCGGGCUGGGCCCGGCCUCUGCAGGCAGCCCGUGUGGCCCCAUCUCUCUGUGCGCAGCCGCACCAGAAGGAGCUACUCACCAUUUUCUCAGACUCAGCUUUUACUUUUCUGCCUCUGCAACUUGAUCAUGGCUCUUCUGCGUUACUUUAUUGAUUCAAUAAAUAUUUAUUGAGCUCUUUACUUCCUGCCAGGUGCUGGGGAUAGAAGGCGAACAAGAAAGCCAACAUCUAGGGACGACACUGUUCCGGAAUGAGGCAAGUAGAGGGGGCUUUGCACCGUGCAGAAGCCUGUCCUUCCCGACCGAGUCCCCAGAGAAUGGGCUGUUGGUGAGUUGAACCCCCCUUACUGUAUCCAAGCAAAUUCUCAGGGGCUGAAGACAGGCGGUUUUCCCUACCAGUUGGUAAGACCAGCUGUGGGUGUCAAAGGGACUUUGUUCGCCCCACCCAGGUUUUUUCUCAGAAUAACAAUUAGUUAUUAAUCAUUAUUACAGUUAUUAGUUAUUAACAAUCCUGUUUCUGACGCUGAGCCCACCCUGAACUUCAGCUUUUUGUGAAGAAAUGACGGUGUGUUCUCUGCCAUGGGGACCUUUCUCUAGCAUCCCCAGCUGCCGAAGAUGACACUGUGUACUGCACAGCUGCCAUCGCCACGUGGGCUAUAGCCUUCAUCUGCAGGGGAAUCCUUGAGUUGUGGGUUAGGUUUAUUUUACAGCUGAAAAGAUCUGAGGUUCAAAGAGGUUGUUAUUUGUCCCCCAGAUACAGAAUUAGUGAAUGGUGAGCCGGCACUUAAAUCUGGGGCUUUCUGACCGCUUCUCUGUGAAGCUACUGUGCUUUAAAUAACAAUAUAACAAACACCAGCCGCCUACUAUUUCUAGACACACCCUCUGUGCCACUGACCACGGUGCCAUACUGUCUAUGGCUUCCUCCCUCUUUCACUCUGGUUUUCUGAGCGUCCCAGACAGCGGGAGGUGGUCUGCGAGUGGGUAGGAGCGUGCUCUGAGGAGCUGACGGCCUGCAGCACGGUGCUCCCUACCCACCUCUCGCUGUGCAGGCCCGGCCGGCCGGCUCCUCAACAGCUCUGGGGCUCAGUUCCCCUGUUUUUAAGGGGGUCAAUAACAGUAUCUCCCUUACUAGGUUGUUGGAAGGACUAAAUAGGAUAAUACACAUAAUAAAAGGCUUAGAAGAAGCCUUAGUUUAGUAGCCCUCAGCUAGUGUUUGUGUCAUCUCAGGUCUCAGCUCAAGUGUCACCUACUCAGCAGGCCUUACCUGAGCCCUGGAGCCAGCGUGGGCCUCCCCCAGGCCCUCAGCCGCCUGCUGCCUGCCACUUGCCCCCGUGGGUGGGCUGCUCUGUUCGCUGGAGCCUUGUAAGGGCCCCCGGGGCGCUGCCUGGGAUGUCGUGGGCUCUUGGGGCAUGUUUGUUGAAUGGCUCUCUGUUUCUGAUGAACCUGAGCCAGAGCUUCCAUUCUGAAUGACCUAAUUGCUGUGUGGCUCCCGCUGACAGGCCUACGAACAGUGUCCCCUGAGGUGCCAUUCCCAGGGGUUCAGCUGUGAUCCCGCGACUCAUGAAUCUCUUCUAGCUCUGACCCCAACCAACCAUUCAUAAAAGAAAAUCUUCAGGCCCCCCGAGCUCACCAUGUUCAGCAGCAGACCCACCACCCUGCCUUGCAGGCCAGCUCCUCUUCCGUGUCCCCAGCCUGGCCGAAGGUGCCCCCACCCACCUGCUUAGGAACCGUGCGGACAGCCUGCGUGCUUCCCUCACUUACCCUCCAUCUGCAGCCAGCCAGCCACCAUGUACCUGCAAGGAACUUGCCCGCGAGCCCAGCUAGAGGCCUGCAGCUGGCAGUCUGCCACCUGGCUGCAAAGCUCACACCCCGAGCCUCAGAAGUUUCUCCAGUGAGGUCCCCCCUCUCGCCCCAGGACCAAGGCUUGAGUCUGGAGGGGGCUUUGGCCCGACUGUUGCACCAGCCUUCCCCUGAUCUUCAGACCCUGCACCUUCCAUGUAGGCUGUUCUCCACCCUGUGGCAAGCGUCAUCUUCCUAAAGUUCAAACCCUGUCCUAUUUGUGCAUGAAAACCACUCUUGGUUCCCUUACUCUCUUAAAGCCUAAAUUCCUCAUGGAGCGUGGAAUCCCCUUCUUGGUCUUUUCCUGGCCUCCCCGCCUGCCCCUCCGUCGCUCCCCCAGCUGCACCUGGGCAGUGCGGUCCCCUGCUGGCCAGGGAGGCUGGGCUCGUGCCGCUCUGGGCCCAGAGCACCCUUUCCCCUGUGCUCAGGGAGAUCCUCUCAGCCUCGGCACCAAACCACGUCCUCUGUGAAGGCUCUCAGCGAGGGCCCCCAGGCCGCCCGCCCCCGCCGCACCUCACAGAGCACGCAGCCCCCGUACUUUGGGGGAAUGCAUUUCUGAAUCCGACGUGCAGAGACGUGCGGUCAGAGAGCCACGGUGUGCGCCUAAGGACAACGGGACAGACGACUGUCGAGGUCCAGGGGACCCUCGCAGAGACGAUUCCUUGGGCCUCUCCACCACCCGGAGAGGGGUGGGGGGCCUGUCCAAGGCAGGGGGCCGCUGCUCCUCCUCUCUUCCUGGUGCCUGGCAAGACGCCCACCCCAGUGUUCGCUAAAGGUGUGAAGGUUGCACCAGGCCAGAGAGCCUUUACCACGUGAACAGGUUCGUACCUGACGUGUGCAUUCCUCCGAGGAAGCCACCGGCCGGCUCACAUCUUGGCCUUGUCGCUGAAAUGCUGCUCGCAGCCUGCACGUCCUCUGUACAGUGGGGAGCGAGGAGCUCCUCCCGGGCUGCCGCGAAGACCGUGGGAGUGGACUGAAGGCCACGGGUGGCGCAGGGCCUGGCCGAGGCGGCUUUGCUUCUGGCGCAAAGAUAUGUGUAGCUCUUCAUGAUAAACAGGAACUGGGAGGCAAGGUCACAUCCUAAAAUAACUUUGAAGUCAGGAUUUCUUUGGGACUUUUAAAAGUUAACACAAUUAAGAAUGUUCCUAGUAUUUAGUAACUACGAUAACGUACAAAGACCAUUCUCCUGUAUUUUAGAGUAUCUGCCUUUCCUCCUGUACGGUUUGCAGGUGGCCUGGGGUUGGGGGUGGUGGUGACUGAGUUUUGCAGCAGCUUGUGUUUGAUCAGCUCUGUCGGACCCCUCGCCCCCGCCACGAAAGGAAGCCGUUGGGUGAGUGUUUGCCCGAUGCCUGGGCCCCGCCUCGCACCUACUGAAUCAGAACUGGGGGCAGGAAGGGGUCUGUGUAUCUGCGUUUAGGAAAACCUCCCCUGUGGUUCUGAUCAUCGGCAAGGUUUGGGAACCGGGAGUUCCUACACCACUAGAAAAGCAUAGGGCUCGAAUUUCUCAUUUUCUCGGCCUUAGAGUCUUUGUAAUAAAAAAAAAAAGAGUUGAUUUGCCUUUUUUGUAAAUGACCUGAGUUUUCUCAGUGGCGGUUUUACCUUCGCAGUGGGCUGUUUAUCCUGCUAGUGGAAAAAACUGGCUCCACUGAAACAAUAGGAGAAGGCGCAAGCUUUACCAGCUUCCCCACGUUUUUAACAUCAGUGAAGUAUUUCCUCCGUGUCCUACUGGGGCCAUUUAAAUGCUAAUGGAGUUAAAUGCAACAGUCUUAUUAGGAAUCCAACUCAGCUGUUUAUAUGACAAUCUUAAUUUUUCUUCAUUCUAUAUUUGUCUUUUAUUUUUAAAUUUUUUUCCUGGAGAGCCAUAUGUUUACAUUCUUUGGUGUUUCAAACCUUCAAGAAGAAGAAUAAAAAUCCCAUCCUGACAGCUUCUCAGCAGUACUUGGAAGAGGCGGGGAAUGCAGGCACCCUCUAAACCUGAAGUCUGCAGCUUGAAUGUGCUGAGUCACCGAGUCUUUGCAGAGUCAAAACAAUUUGCACCCAGGAAAAGUACAGCCGAAAAUCAAACUUAUGUGAGACUUAAGAGGAUGCAAACAUCCCCCUGACAAGGAAGUCAGAACGCGUUUACCGGCACCAGCAAACCUCCUGAGGCCAUUUCACAAGGUGGGAAUUUACGCUAAAGCCGCUCAGCUGUGAUCUUCCCCCAGAGGGUUUGCAGCCGUGCGUGGGCCGUGGGGACGGAGCCCUGGGACGGGCGCUCUCCGGGCGCCGCUGCCCCUGUGCCAGCGCUCCAGGCUCAUCCCCUCGUUCUGUCCUUGCAGCCCCCUUACCCCCCCUGUAAAGGAGGAGCUUGUAAUACUAAAGCUGAGUAGGCUAAAACUUAGAGGCUAAGUCAUUCAUUCCCACAGUUCUCCUAGUCGGCGGCGGAUGGGGGGAGAAUGUGAGCCCGGGCAGAAUCGCUCCAACGCCCCGGGUCGCUGCGGAGAGGGCCCCUCCGCCCAGAGAACGCCUGCUCCCCGGGACGUAACGUCAGCGGCCGGAGGACGUCAUCAGGCCGGCGUUCCCGCUGCUCACAUUUAGAUUGGACAUAACGCAAUGACUUGGAAUUUAAAGAAUCAGUAAAAAUGCCCUGAGCUCACUGCCCUCCACUCGACUCUGCCUAGAGCUGGAAGUGGGCUGACUUCGCUGCCCGUCGAGUCAGAGCCUGCGCAGGGGCAGAACCGGGACGCGGGCGCAGGCCACGGUAGGGCGUCGUGCAGACGCAGUGCGAAUCUCGGCCGUUUGCAAGCCUGCUGACCUGGGACAGUUGACUUGACCCCUUCUCUUCGUAGGUCUUAGCCCGGGGCCAGAGGGGACCCCAGCAAGGUGACCUCAUCUGCGAGGCCAGGGUGUGGCCAGCUCUGAGACGGGGCUUCCUGGGACCCCAUGCGGAGGAGACGGGAUGCGUUGGGCUCCGGGGCCGUGUCUGGGCCCCAGCUCCAGGCAGGGCUGUGUGUCACCGAGAUGAGGUCUGACAUUGGCAGUGAGUCAGCCAUGUGGGGAUCUUGGUGGAAGGGGUUUUCCCGGCAGAGGAAACAGCUAAGGCAAACAGGAAAUUGCCUACUGGCAAGAUUUGGGAAUGGCAAGGAAGUUGGUGUGGCUGGAACAGAGGGUGAGGGGGCCAAGUAAUGGGAGGUGAGGGCAGAGAGGGAAGGGGUCAGACUGUUCAGCAUCAUGUCAAGGACUUUGGGUUUUACGAUGAGAGAGUGAGGGAGCCGCUGCCGGGUCUGGAGCAGAGGAGAGCACGGUGUGACUGAGGUUCUAGAAGACUGCUUUGGUUGAGGUGCUGAGAAUAGGCUGUAGGGGCUGAUCUGAGGCAGGCAGAGCAGGUCCAAGCUGCUGCAGGGCUCAGGAAAGGAGCAGAGGGGGUCGGAGCAGGGAUCGGGGUCCUAGAGUGCUAAGAAGCCCCCAGAGUCCGGUGUGUUCUGAGGGUAGCACCAACGAUUUAUCAUGGGGACAGAGAUGAAGGGUUUUCUGCAGGAGCAGGUGGAACAGAGUUUGUUACACGUGGGGCAGGGAGGCCACAUGCAGGUGGGACAGAUUUGGGGGUAAGAUCAAGAGUUCAUUCUUGACAAUGUUGAGAUUCCGCUUGACAUCCCAGGGGAGGCGGACAAGCAGAAAGGGAGAGGUCCAAUCUGGUCAUUAGAAAUUUCCAUCGGAGAUUACCAGCACUGAAUAUUGAAAGCUUGAGCCUUCAGAGAUCGCCAGGGGCCCAGGGGCUGAGCUCUGGAGCACUCCAAUCUUGAGAGUUCUAGAAGAAGAGGACGAAUCAGCAGAGGAGACUUGAGACAGGGCAGCCAGUGGGGCCUUUUUGAAGGUGGCCUUCACCAGGCAGAUGGCAGGGAAGGAAUUCCAGGUGAGGAAGACGGUGAAUGCGAAGAUGAAGGAAUGUGGAAUCCCCAUCUGGGAGCGGGCAGGCCAGGAGAGCCAGUGGUGUGGGGGGAGACGGGAGGGGAGGCUGCAGAUGGGGCUCACCUUGCAGUGGGAUUAGUCACUCAACUUACAGUGUUGGUUGUUUAUUUCACAGUGAUGGUGGCUAGGAUUUCUUGAGGUCUUACUCUGAUUUACCAUGUGUAGGGCACUGUACUAAGCACAUUACAUACAUUUUAAUCAUUUAAUGUUUAUACCUACCCUUUAAGAGAGAUGAUAUUAUUUUCCUCUGGAGUAUAGAAACUGGCUCAAAGAUGUCAAAGAGCCACUCAGGGUCACCUGUCGGGUAACUGCCUUAACCCAGUUCUGUUGCAGAAUCCGUGCCCUGGAGGUCUGGCUUGUCUUAACUGUGUCUGGGGAUCAGAGGCUGGGAGUUUGUGUUUCCCUGGAGAGGAUCCUGCCUCACUCUCUCUCUCUGAGAAAGUGCUUUCCAUGCAAAGGGCCAGGACAGACCUCGGGCACCUGUGAAGGAUUUCACCAGGGCAGGGGCUCCACGGGAUCUGCUUUUGCAGCAUAUCCAUCUGGCAGCAGUGUGAGCAGCCUGGGCAUAAGCAGAGGGCAGUGGGUCUGGUGGGGAGUAGCUCCGUGAGGGACUCUUGAGGGGCUCAAGGGCCGAUGGGGCUGCAGGCUGUAGGGUCUGGGCCUGGGGAAAGCUGAGUUGAAUCUGCAGCUGGGAGGCAAGCAGUUGAAAUAAAUGAGGUCAGUGGUCUGGGUGGGGGAAGCGACUUUCAGUUAUUCAUCCUUCAUGGACGCACCCUUUUCUGAAGUGGAUCCCCUGGGACAAGCCCACCUCCCGCUUGGCAGCAAAAAGGCCAGUUUCUUGCCUUCCCUUCUUCUUGCUAGAAUGGGCUUUGGGGUGUGGAGCAGCCUCCUGGACUCCAGCCAAAGGGUGAUGAACACCAGUGUGGUGUGAGAAAGCGAGUGACUGAGGGCGGGGUGACACUGCCUCUCACAGGCCUGGUGGUUGGGGUGCUUUGCCUUCAGUAUAUUGGAGAGAGGCCUAAAAGUGAUUGUUGGUGACAGAUCACAACGUGAUUUUGGGGCCAAGACUUGCGCAGAUUUCACAGAUUUAAGAAACAUUGCUGUAUGUAGAAUAUUUCUAUCCCUUAGGUAUGUGAAGAGUUUCUCAGCAACUUCAUCUAUAAAAAUAAAAGUAGUGAUGCGAGUAUCCAAUAUCCAAACUGUUUUAUUGUAAUAAUAAGGCAUCCACAGGCCUGUGAACUAAUGACUGGAAAAUAAUCCCAGUUCAUCUCAUUAGGGAUGUAUUUGCAAUAACAUUUUACUUUUUAUAUUUAAUGAGUGUUAAAGUCUGUUAUAUACUCAUGAUUCUCUGAUCAAUUGUGUGCUGCUAAUAAUUGGAAUUUAUUGCUACUCAAUUCAGAAAAUUUUGUUGUGUAUGUAGUGGAUUAUGGUCACAGAAACUUUAUUUUAAUUUAUGUGCAUAGUGUGCGGAUGAGACAUGAAAAGGUUAUUGCUGAAAGGUUUUGAAGCCUACAAAUAAAUUAGGUUUGAAAUCUGUGGGUGAUACAAAAAGUUGUGCACAGAUGUUGACGGCAGCAUUAUUCAUAACAGCCCAAAGUGGGCACAACCCAGAUGUGCACUGACUGACGGGCGUGUAAACACAAUGUGGUGCAUCCCUACGAUGGAACAUUAUUGGGUAAUAAAAAGGAAUGAAAUGCUGCUUCAUCCUACAGCCUCGAAAACAUCAUGACAAGGAAAAGAAGCCAGUCGCAAGAAACCACAUGUUGUCCGGCUCCGUUGUAUGAAAUGUCCAGAAGAGGCGAACGUACAGACAGACUGUAGACGAGUGGCUGCUUAGGGUGGUGGCCGGGAGCAGGGGACGGGGAGUGAUCGCUAGUGGGUACGAGGUUUCUUGUUGGGGUGAGGAGAAUGUUCUGGAACUGGUUGUGGUGAUGGAUGCACAAUAUUAAAUAUGCUAAAAAAAUUAAAUGGUAAACUUUAAGGGGA